CUCUCCUGAAGUCAGCAGCAGCACAAACUUAGUUCUGUGCAUAUUCUUCCCAAGUCACUUCUGACAGGAUUGUUCCCAUGUAGCCCAGGCACCUAAGUGAUAUGUCUAAAUGAGAGCCUUCUUUACCUCUCUGUAUCUUGAAGUGAGUGCUAAAAGAAAAAAAAGCCAGAAGAGGAGGGAUAUCGUGCCUAUGUGUUUCAAACUGUGGGCUCCUGAUUUCACCUGUGUGCUGCCUUCAUGCAGAGACGAAAGGCAGAUUUACAAAUGAUGAAAUGUAGAUAUGAAUCCCUUUGUGACAGCAGGGCACUUGCUUAAGGACUAGGAAAGGCAACUGGGAGACUGAGUUUCUGGAUAUACAGUGGCACUCCACGCUGCUACUCCUUUGUGCAGUGCAUUGUGCUCCCUCAGUGAAACAGAGAAACCUCUCUCCUAACACAGGCACUUUAGCAGGGCACAAACAGGUUCCCUUUAGGUGCUGGAAAGCUGAAAUUAGGUCUCCCCAAAGCCUUCUCUUCUACAGGCUUAACAAUGCCAAUUCUCUUACACUUCCUUGAGAACAGCCUUGAGACUACCAGAAGCUGGAAGGAGACAGAGCCAGAACAGCUGAUCCCCACUGACCAAAGGGAUAUUCUAUAUUAAGAGGUGUUGUUCUUAGUACAUAACCUGGGGAGAAAGCUGACUAGGGGUUGCUGCUUGAGAACUGACUGAGCACCAUUAGGAGCCUUCCCAUGGAAGCUGCAAGUCAGAAACUGGAGUUUGACAGCAAGUUGUCUGUGAUUUGCUUUUCUCAAGUUAUUUAUGGGCCAUGCUUCCAGCCGCAAGCCUACAAUUCUUGAAUAAGAAGCUUAUGCACUUCACCCUACCCCAUCUACUUGGAGCUGUUAUGAAAUCUGAUCUACUUCUUGAUUCUUAUGUGUGAAUAUUUCGGUUAAUGUUGAUCCUUCUACACUACUACAUGAAGCACAAGUGGAAAUAUGCCAGCAGAUAUCAGUCUUAUGAGAGGUUUUUCUUAUGUACAGAUGCCUGAUUUAGGUUUUGUUUAAUCCUUUCAAGGUCAAAAAUCCUCAAGAGACUUAGAAUUCUAGAGAGCUGUAUUUCAUAACUUUUAACAGUCCUUCUGCCCUUUUUUUAGAUAAUCACCAAAAGCAUAAAGAAGUUAGGUUGUUCACUGAAAAAUAUUGGCUGACAUAUCUAGCACUGAAAUGUCUUGCAUCUGUAUCAAUAUUAUAUCACCAGUUACUGUGCUACAUUAUUAAUAAUGGUAACCAAUUUCUUAACACUUUAAUUUUAUGUCAUUAACUUCUAUGAAACAAGUACAGCUAAUUCAGGACAUGAUAAGAAAACCAUCACAGCAAACUAUUAAGCACUCUGCAUGAAGUGAUCUAAGGACUAGAACCAAUCUACAGAAAUAUAUGUGAAUAAAACAUUCCAUGCCCUCAAGCAGAACUAUAGCUGUAUUAAUAAAAGCUUGUGGGGAAAAUCCUGUCCCUGCAGAAACCAAAGGCAAAACUCCCAUGGGUCUUUUACUGGGUGCUGAAAUCCGUAUCAAUAUGCAUUUCCUUUUCAGAUACAUUUUUCCAUACAUUAGAAUUUUGAUAUCAUUUGUUAUCAAUAGAUAACAAGUAUAUCAA